rnacentral:misc_RNA from 1 species
GCGGGUUUUCGGGGUCCGGAGUGAACCACGCCACUGUCAAAUCGUCAGGGUGCAAAAACGCUACCGUUGAGAGGUUACAGUGACUGAGUUGCUUCUCUUCCUCGCGCAGCUCCUGAGUGAAUGAAUUGAGACUCUUCUCUUGAAGCGAACGACAUGAAUUCGACUUCGGGUUACAGUAAUGGCUACGUCAACCAGCCGCAACGAGUUGGGGCUAGUCACCGGGAACGAGCCAGAAGAGGGGCACGUGGCGGUCGCUCUCGCGAAUCCAGAGAUGGUUUUAGGGUUUCCGGAGAACAGCAGCAGCGGGAGGGUGAGCAGAAGGUCACUCCUUGUACCGAUUUCGACAUGGCAUACUUUCAUUCCUACGCUCACGUUGGUAUCCAUGAAGAGAUGAUCAAAGAUCGUGUACGAACAGAGACUUAUAGGGCUGCAAUCAUGCAACAUAAGAGUUACAUCGAAGGCAAAGUUGUUGUGGAUGUUGGCUGUGGCACAGGAAUUCUUUCUAUAUUUUGUGCUCAGGCUGGUGCAAAACGGGUAAGAUAUCUUGGACCUUAUAUUUUUUGAAGGUUCUACGUAUUAUUCAACAAAUUGUGUUAUGGGGUUCAUGGGCAACAUACAUUAUUCGUGGAGUGUUAUAUCAAUUGUCACUGCUGUUUCUUGCAAUUUUGGCACUAAAAUAUUUCUUACAGGGAUUCGGGGUGGGGAGACUUUCUUCUUGUCUCCGCACAAUAUCAGGGUCAGGGAAAAUCCAUCAAGUGCGGGGCGGGGCGGAUUGGGUUCGGGAAAUUUCGCCAUCCCUAGACCCAAUAAGCCUCCCAAUGGCUCUUUAACUCUCUCAUCAUAUGCAAAAGUAAUAAAAUAAAAUAAAAUUAAAAAGAAAGAAGAAGAAGAAGUGAAGAACUAACCUUUGAUUCUUUCCUUAUAUGUGAAAGUUUGACACUGUCCUUUUUUCUUAGUUUUAGUUCUUUUUCGAAGAGAUAUUAUGCAUAUUUCUAUUUCUGUACUUGCAUUAUUUUCAUUGUAAUUGUGGAUCAUGCUUGAAAUGAUAUUGUUUGGCCAGGUAUAUGCCGUGGAUGCAAGUGAUAUUGCAGUGCAGGCAAAUGAAGUUGUUAAAGCAAAUAAUUUAUCUGAGAAGAUCAUUGUAUUACGUGGACGAGUUGAGGAUGUUGAAAUAGACGAGGGAGUUGAUGCUAUAAUUUCAGAGUGGAUGGGCUACAUGCUUUUGUAUGAGAGCAUGCUGGGAAGUGUUAUCACUGCCAGGGAUCGCUGGCUAAAAUGCGGAGGUAUUAUUCUUCCAUCAAAUGCAACGUUGUACAUGGCACCUGUCACACAUCCUGACAGAUACAGUGAAAGCAUCGAUUUUUGGCGCAAUGUUUAUGGAAUUGAUAUGUCUGCCAUGAUGCCAUUAGCAAAACAGUGUGCAUUUGAAGAACCAUCUGUGGAGACAAUAUCGGGUGAGAAUGUUUUGACAUGGCCACACAUGGUUAAGCAUGUGGACUGCUACACAAUUCAAGUUCAUGAGCUAGAAUCUGUUACAACAAGAUAUAAGUUCAAGUCUAUGAUGAGAGCUCCAUUGCAUGGGUUUGCAUUUUGGUUUGAUGUUGAAUUCAGUGGGCCGGCAACAUCUCCUAUAAAUACUAUUGCAAAUGAUCCUCCUGUUGAUGGAGUUCAGAAUAAGAAAAGGACAAAUCCAAAUGAUGCACUUGUG